GAUGAACGCUGGCGGCGUGCCUAACACAUGCAAGUCGAGCGAGGGUUUGCUCAGUAUUGAGUAUUCUAAGACUAGAAUGUUCAAUUCUGAGCAAAACCAAGCGGCGGACGAGUGAGUAACGCGUGGGUAACCUGCCCUAUACACAUGGAUAACAUACUGAAAAGUUUACUAAUACAUGAUAAUAUAUAUUUGCGGCAUCGCAGAUAUAUCAAAGUGUUAGCGGUAUAGGAUGGACCCGCGUCUGAUUAGCUAGUUGGUGAGAUAACUGCCCACCAAGGCGACGAUCAGUAGCCGACCUGAGAGGGUGAUCGGCCACAUUGGAACUGAGACACGGUCCAAACUCCUACGGGAGGCAGCAGUGGGGAAUAUUGCACAAUGGGCGAAAGCCUGAUGCAGCAACGCCGCGUGAACGAUGAAGGUCUUCGGAUCGUAAAGUUCUGUUGCAGGGGAAGAUAAUGACGGUACCCUGUGAGGAAGCCCCGGCUAACUACGUGCCAGCAGCCGCGGUAAUACGUAGGGGGCUAGCGUUAUCCGGAUUUACUGGGCGUAAAGGGUGCGUAGGUGGUCCUUCAAGUCGGUGGUUAAAGGCUACGGCUCAACCGUAGUAAGCCUCCGAAACUGGAGAACUUGAGUGCAGGAGAGGAAAGUGGAAUUCCCAGUGUAGCGGUGAAAAUGCGUAGAUUUGGUGAGGAACACCAUUAGCGUAGGGGGCUUUUUGGGACUGGCAACUGACACUGUGGGCACGAUAGCGUGUGUGCAGACUGG
rnacentral:rRNA from 1 species